AUUUAUAUAGUAUAAAAAUUAUUUUUAACUUCCAAUUAAAAGAUCUAUAAACUAGUAUAAAUA
rnacentral:tRNA from 1 species